UCUAAUGAAAAGUUGUCUCUUUGGCAAUCAUCUCCUUUUUGUAUGACUUAUAUUUAUUAGUUCAUGUCAAACUAUAUAAUGUCUAACCCAAGUAACACUAUAAUUAUCAUCCAGAUAACAAAAGAAAAACAAUAUUAGAUCUGUAUAAUUUAUUAUUAAAUUUAAUGUAAAAUACAUUCAUAUAUAAAUGUGUCUGGAAAUAUGAAAAUUCAAUAAAAGUUUGAAUCAAAUUAAAAAUAUCAUUAGAUAUUAAUAAAAUAUAAAAACAAUAAAACAUAGUUUAAAGACAUAGUAUUCAUCUUUAAACCAUUCUGUUUUGGUGUUUUUUCUGUCACAAUAACAUUUUAAAAUGAUAACUUAUCUAUGAAAUUAAAACUCCUCAAAAAGAACUAAGGUAAAUUCAAGUAGCAGAAACAUGAAUCAAACAAUUUUUCUUUCAAAGGCUAACAAAGUUUAAAAAGCUGCUAUAUCAUGGAAUAGGAUAAACAAUUAACAAGAAAAUUGAUCUUAAAAACAAUUGUCACCGAAAAUUGAUCUAGAAAACAAUUAUGACAUUGGUUGCAAUGAGUAACUGUGAUUUCCCAGUGAAUUAAUAACUGAAUAUUUCACAUCUCUGACAUCAUACAAUAAUGGGUGUUGUCAAGUCAUUGACAAUGACCUCACAUUAAAAUGAAUUGAGAAUGCUAUAAAAAGAUAGUUCUUUCUAAUUUGAUUUAUUUAUUUCCAUUUAAAAUGUCCACGGUCAAUGUAAUAAAAAAAAACUAAUCGAAGAAUUCAAAUAUCGAAAACAGUGAUAAUUUAUUCGUAUGCUACCUGCAUUCAUGAAUUAAUAUGUUGUUCGGUCACUAAAUGAUUAUUUUUAGUUAUUCUAUAAAUGGUUUUGGUUGUAAUUUAUUUCUGUUUAGUUUUUAUCAUCCGUUUAUAAAUCUGGUAUCUACUCAUUAAAAUCUUAUUUUAGUUAUCUCCAGAUUAUUUAAUAAAUCCACCAAUCUAAAUUUUAAUAGCACUUUGAUUGUAUUUCAUAUCCAAACAGAAGCAUUUAAGUAUAUGUAUGAUAAAAACUAAAAUAUGUACAAAAAUGUCAAUAUAAAAAUACACAAUUAAAAUCUAUGUUACACAUAUAUAAUUAUAAGACAUAUAUGGCAAAUCCUCUGAUAUGUACCUACUACAUUUUCAUAGAACACACAAAAUGUAAUUUACAAUGAAAAUUCAACUAUAUUUCUAUGAUUUCAUAAAAAUCCCUAUAAUUUAUCUUUUACUUCAAUCAAUACAGGAAUUUUAUUUCUAGAUCCUCUUCAAGAAUUUGGAAUGUACAAAAUAUCAUAUAAAACAUUUAGUAUGUUCAACAUACAUGUCAAGCUAAGAAAACAAUUCUGUGUAUAAAAUGUAUACACAAUAUGUGUAUAAAAUGUAUACACAAUAUAACUUUGAAUUAAGGUUUGCAGUUUUUGGUUAUUCCCUGAAAUUUUGGAAUGUAGAAAACAAACAAGAUAUGAACUAUAACAGUUAUUGAUGAUAUGUAAAAAGUUGCAUCCAAAUAUUCACAUUUUAUACAAAUACAGUGGUCAUAUUUACAUAUUUACAAUUAAUAAUAAAAUUGGAAUGUCUUCAAAAUUUUUGUAGCAACAGAUGAAAAAUGUCAUUUGCAAUUUUACAGAUAUAAAGUAAUUUGAGUGUGUACAUGGUGUACAGUGUUCUCCCCAGGCCGUUUUAGCACAGCGCUUUUCAGAGCUAUUGCAAUUCCCCGCUGUCCUAUAGCACUGACCGCAGCGCUAUCCAACGCAACCGCGUCGCUAUAUUUUUUUUCCGUAUUUUUCAAUUUUUUUUCAAAUUUCCCGCUUAUUUUUCACUUCGGAUCACGUGAUCGACUGGUUUACGAUUUUUGAAUGAAUUAUUUCCGUUGUAUUAAAGUAACUUCACGGGACCAGUCUAAUAAAUUUUACAAAAAUGGCGUUUUUGGAAGAUCAAAAUAAACAAAGAUUUCAACAUUGACAUCGAUUUUUUUAAUUUAAAGAAAAUAUAGAGGCAUAUAUGAAUGAAAUGUGAUGAAAUGAAUUGACCGCAUUUCCCGACGUCACUCACAAACUUGUUUUACGAACUUUGAACAAACGAUGAUUUUAAAAACGAUCAAACACAGGGGUUUGUUACAAAUUAUUUGCCGGGUUUACUAUCCAUACGAACCCCGAAAAUGACCAAGUCUUUUAAAUAUUAAUUAUCCCCUAUUCGAACUUAUAAUUUGUCAGAAAUUCUUCCAUUUGAUAACAAUUUGAGAGGAUAUGAUUAGCAAAACAAACCCCAAGCUGAUACGA
rnacentral:lncRNA from 1 species